rnacentral:rRNA from 1 species
AGUGAACGCUGGCGGUAGGCCUAACACAUGCAAGUCGAACGGCAGCACAGUAAGAGCUUGCUCUUACGGGUGGCGAGUGGCGGACGGGUGAGGAAUACAUCGGAAUCUACUUUUUCGUGGGGGAUAACGUAGGGAAACUUACGCUAAUACCGCAUACGACCUACGGGUGAAAGCAGGGGAUCUUCGGACCUUGCGCGAUUGAAUGAGCCGAUGUCGGAUUAGCUAGUUGGCGGGGUAAAGGCCCACCAAGGCGACGAUCCGUAGCUGGUCUGAGAGGAUGAUCAGCCACACUGGAACUGAGAAACGGUCCCGACUCCUACGGGAGGCAGCAGUGGGGAAUAUUGGACAAUGGGCGCAAGCCUGAUCCAGCCAUACCGCGUGGGUGAAGAAGGCCUUCGGGUUGUAAAGCCCUUUUGUUGGGAAAGAAAAGCAGCAGGUUAAUACCCCGCUGUUCUGACGGUACCCAAAGAAUAAGCACCGGCUAACUUCGUG